rnacentral:rRNA from 1 species
AGAGCGUACGGUGGAUGUCUUGGCAUAUAGAGCAGAAGAAGGACGCAGAAAACGGCGAAACGCCUCGGGGAGUCGUACACAGACAACGAUCCGGGGGUAUCCGAAUGGGGAAACCCAGUCAUGCGGAAAUGCGUGGCUAUCCACAACUGAAUACAUAGGUUGCGAGAAGAAAACCCAGGGAAUUGAAACAUCUCAGUACCUGGAGGAGAAGAAAACAAAAGUGAUUCCGAAAGUAGUGGCGAGCGAAAUCGGAAGAGCCCAAACCAGUCUUGAACUGGGGUAGUAGGACCAGAAAAAGCAACAUCUGAGAGAUAGUCGAAUGAGAUUGAAAGCUCAGUCAGAGAAGGUGCAAACCCUGUAGACGAAAUUUCGAAGAGUGCGACUGGAAUCCUGAGUACGUCGGGGCACGUGGAACCCUGACGGAAGCAACCGGGACCAUCCGGUAAGGCUAAAUACUCCUAUAUGACCGAUAGUGAACCAGUACCAUGAGGGAAAGAUGAAAAGAACCGCGGGAGCGGAGUGAAAUAGAACCUGAAACCGUAUGCUUACAAAAAGUCAGAGCACAUUAAAGUGUGAUGGCGUGCCUUUUGUAGAAUGAACCGGCGAGUUACGAUAUGAUGCGAGGUUAAGUUGAAGAGACGGAGCCGUAGGGAAACCGAGUCUUAAUAGGGCGCAUUAGUAUCAUGUCGUAGACCCGAAACCAUGUGACCUACCCAUGAGCAGGUUGAAGGUGAGGUAAAACUCACUGGAGGACCGAACCAGGGCACGUUGAAAAGUGCUUGGAUGACUUGUGGGUAGCGGAGAAAUUCCAAACGAACUUGGAGAUAGCUGGUUCUCUCCGAAAUAGCUUUAGGGCUAGCGUCGACAUUAAGAUUCUUGGAGGUAGAGCACUGUUUGGGUGAGGGGUCCAUCCCGGAUUACCAAUCUCAGAUAAACUCCGAAUGCCAACGAGAUAUAAUCGGCAGUCAGACUGCGAGUGCUAAGAUCCGUAGUCGAAAGGGAAACAGCCCAGACCACCAGCUAAGGUCCCAAAAUAUAUGUUAAGUGGAAAAGGAUGUGGGGUUGCACAGACAACUAGGAUGUUAGCUUAGAAGCAGCUAUUCAUUCAAAGAGUGCGUAAUAGCUCACUAGUCGAGUGACCCUGCGCCGAAAAUGUACCGGGGCUAAAACAUAUUACCGAAGCUGUGGAUACCUUUAUAGGUAUGGUAGGAGAGCGUUCUAUGUGCGAAGAAGGUGUACCGUGAGGAGUGCUGGAGCGCAUAGAAGUGAGAAUGCCGGUAUGAGUAGCGAAAGACAGGUGAGAAUCCUGUCCACCGUAAGACUAAGGUUUCCAGGGGAAGGCUCGUCCGCCCUGGGUUAGUCGGGACCUAAGGAGAGACCGAAAGGUGUAUCCGAUGGACAACAGGUUGAUAUUCCUGUACUAGAGUAUAUAGUGAUGGAGGGACGCAGUAGGCUAACUAAACCAGACGAUUGGAAGUGUCUGGCCAAGCAGUGAGGUGUGAUAUGAGUCAAAUGCUUAUAUCUAUAACAUUGAGCUGUGAUGGGGAGCGAAGUUUAGUAGCGAAGUUAGUGACGUCACACUGCCAAGAAAAGCUUCUAGCGUUAAUCAUACUCUACCCGUACCGCAAACCGACACAGGUAGUCGAGGCGAGUAGCCUCAGGUGAGCGAGAGAACUCUCGUUAAGGAACUCGGCAAAAUGGCCCCGUAACUUCGGGAGAAGGGGCGCUGACUUAUGGUCAGCCGCAGUGAAUAGGCCCAAGCAACUGUUUAUCAAAAACACAGCUCUCUGCUAAAUCGUAAGAUGAUGUAUAGGGGGUGACGCCUGCCCGGUGCUGGAAGGUUAAGAGGAGUGCUUAGCGUAAGCGAAGGUAUGAAUUGAAGCCCCAGUAAACGGCGGCCGUAACUAUAACGGUCCUAAGGUAGCGAAAUUCCUUGUCGGGUAAGUUCCGACCCGCACGAAAGGCGUAAUGAUUUGGGCACUGUCUCAACGAGAGACUCGGUGAAAUUUUAGUACCUGUGAAGAUGCAGGUUACCCGCGACAGGACGGAAAGACCCCAUGGAGCUUUACUGCAGUUUGAUAUUGAGUAUCUGUACCACAUGUACAGGAUAGGUAGGAGCCUAUGACCUCGGGACGCCAGUUUCGAGUGAGGCGUUGUUGGGAUACUACCCUUGUGUUAUGGCUACUCUAACCCAGAUAGGUUAUCCCUAUCGGAGACAGUGUCUGACGGGCAGUUUGACUGGGGCGGUCGCCUCCUAAAAGGUAACGGAGGCGCCCAAAGGUUCCCUCAGAAUGGUUGGAAAUCAUUCGCAGAGUGUAAAGGUAUAAGGGAGCUUGACUGCGAGAGCUACAACUCGAGCAGGGACGAAAGUCGGGCUUAGUGAUCCGGUGGUUCCGCAUGGAAGGGCCAUCGCUCAACGGAUAAAAGCUACCCUGGGGAUAACAGGCUUAUCUCCCCCAAGAGUUCACAUCGACGGGGAGGUUUGGCACCUCGAUGUCGGCUCA